rnacentral:rRNA from 1 species
UACGGGGGGGGCAAGCGUUGUUCGGAAUUACUGGGCGUAAAGGGCUCGUAGGCGGCCAACUAAGUCAGACGUGAAAUCCCCAGGCUCAACCUGGGAACUGCGUCUGAUACUGGAUGGCUUGAAUUCGGGAGAGGGAUGCAGAAUUCCAGGUGUAGCGGUGAAAUGCGUAGACAUCUGGAGGAAUACCGGUGGCGAAGGCGGCAUCCUGGACCGACAUUGACGCUGAUGAGCGAAAGCUAGGGGAGCAAACGGG